CAGUCGCCACGGUAAUACGUAGGGUCCGAGCGUUGUCCGGAAUUAUUGGGCGUAAAGAGCUCGUAGGCGGUUCGUCGCGUCUGCCGUGAAAUCCUCAGGUUCAACCUGAGGCGUGCGGUGGGUACGGGCGAGCUAGAGUGCGGUAGGGGAGAAUGGAACUCCUGGUGUAGCGGUGGAAUGCGCAGAUAUCAGGAAGAACACCGAUGGCGAAGGCAGUUCUCUGGGCCGUAACUGACGCUGAGGAGCGAAAGCGUGGGGAGCGAACAGGAUUAGAUACCCCUGUAGUCCCUGUCUCUUAUAC
rnacentral:rRNA from 1 species